rnacentral:tRNA from 1 species
GCCGAAGUGGUGGAAUGGCAGACACGCCGCACUCAAAAUGCGGUGCCGCGAGGCGUGUGGGUUCGAGUCCCACCUUCGGUA